rnacentral:lncRNA from 1 species
CUGGGGUCUGCAACACCUGCUGCACAAAGAGCCCUCUACAACCAGCAGGUGGGCGACUGCUCUAUCAUCUGUAUGAACCUGGAGGUCAACAGUAGCAUCUUCUACAAGAGCAUCCCGGUGACCAGUCAGGAUAAAACUCCAGCAAUCAUCCACAAGGCCAUGGAUAAACACAAUCUAGACAUGGAUAAUCCAGACGACUGUGAGCUGGUACAGAUAAUCUCAAAAAAUUGCAGUAAGUUGAAGAAUCAGAUAUCUGGGGAAAUGGCAAAGGGUCAGGGAUAGCACCAUUCCCAUCACAAGGUCCAAAAUCCUGGACAGAAGUCAGUGCAACAGGGUUAGCAUGGGCAUGGUGCACAGUGAACUUUCUAGGAGCACCCUGGAUCACAUCAGAGUCUCUUCAUUACCUGAACAGCUGAAUAAGUCCACGUCUAUGACAUUUGAUGUGAACAGUUAGUGCAAAGAGAACAUCAUGGUAAGGUAUCUCACUGGCCCACUAGAAUAGACACUUUAUGGCUAAUAAGUGAAAACAUGCUUAUGAAUGGAGGUGUCAAAUGUUAAAAUCCAUGUAUGUAACAUAAAAUGUACACACUGUUGGCUUCUGAGUUAGUGAUCUAGAAAGCAGAAGAACCACAGAACUGUUAGCAGUUCUGACUCAGAGAAGUUGGGCAGUUCCAAGACACCCGUGACUGUGUCCCUGUCAGGAAAAGUAGGCCAGAGUAUACAUCAGAUUCCUCCUAGCGAUAGAGAGAAAGAACAUGGAAUAUAUGUGACCCACAAAGUCUGCUGUACUCACUGUCAUAGCUCUGCUUUCUUUCCAUUGAACUGAACACCCAUGUCCUGCCAUUACCCAGACUCUCAGCACUGAACCUCACUGUCCCUACUUUUAUCAUAAAUCUUCUUGUAGUGGCUUGCAUGGUUUUCGAUAGGUGGGCAGGAUGGGAUUGUCUCCCGUAUUAGGAAAAAGAAGACUGAGGCCUAGGGAAAGCUAAAGACCUAGGUAGGAGUCCUAUCUACCAUUGAUUCACACCAGACCUUGAGCCCAGAAACUGUGUAGAGGCUUCUUUGGAGCCCAGAUGAGGAGGCCUGAUCAAGUAUUGGACUUUUCAUGUCUUGUCCUAAGUAAGACAGCAUUCAGGGAAGAUGUCUUAGAUUCUUGAAAGCUUGCUGUGGUUGGAGGCCCUCCCCAGAAGAAACAACUAUAUGGAAGGAUAGAAAGACCCUUUAGCUGCCGGCUGAGAUAUGCAGCAUGGUAGAAUCCACGUAUCUUUCUGAAAAAGAGUCG